rnacentral:rRNA from 1 species
AGUGAGGAAUAUUGGUCAAUAGCCUAACGGCUGAACCAGCAACUUGGAGGAAUGUAUAGCAUUAGCUAAUUGCACCAACAUCUAGUACCAUCCCCGGAUGGGGAAGUUAGUGUAAUAUCGACUCUGUCGAAUAAAAUUCUGGGUGGAAUUAUGAUGAUGACAUUAUCUACCUAUAAGUCUUGACCAAAUUACGUGCCAGCAGUCGCGGUAAUACGUAGAAGACUAGUGUUAUUCAUCUUUAAUAGGUUUAAAGGGUACCUAGACUGUAAAUCAAGCCUGUUAAAAAGCUAAGGGACUAAUUUACUAGAGUUACUUCUGAGGGGGCAUUAAAGUACUAAUGGUGUAGAGAUGAAAUUCUGUAAUACCUCUUUCUGAAAGGAAAACUACGGCACAAGUAUAGGCGUAAGCAUCCCCUUAUGUGAUAACUGACGUUGAAGGACGAAGG